rnacentral:rRNA from 1 species
CUUGGUCAUUUAGAGGAAGUAAAAGUCGUAACAAGGUUUCCGUAGGUGAACCUGCGGAAGGAUCAUUAUCGUAGGGCUUCGGCCCUGUCGAGAUAGAACCCUUGCCUUUUUGAGUACCUUUCGUUUCCUCGGCAGGCUCGCCUGCCAAUGGGGACCACAAAAAACACUUUGCAGUACCUGUAACAGUCUGAACAAACAAAACAAAAAUUAAAACUUUCAACAACGGAUCUCUUGGUUCUGGCAUCGAUGAAGAACGCAGCGAAAUGCGAUAAGUAGUGUGAAUUGCAGAAUUCAGUGAAUCAUCGAAUCUUUGAACGCACAUUGCGCCCUUUGGUAUUCCUUAGGGCAUGCCUGUUCGAGCGUCAUUUAAACCUUCAAGCUAAGCUUGGUGUUGGGUGACUGUCCGCUUCACUGCGGACUCGCCUCAAAAUUAUUGGCGGCCGGUACAUUGGCUUCGAGCGCAGCAGAAACGCGAACUCGGGCCCGUCGUAUUGGCUCCCAGAAGCUAUCUUCACAAUUUUGACCUCGGAUCAGGUAGGGAUACCCGCUGAACUUAAGCAUAUCAAUAAGCGGAGGA